AUUGAACGCUGGCGGCAGGCCUAACCCAUGCAAGUCGAACGGAGCGGCGGACGGGUGAGUAAUGCCUAGGUAUCUGCCAGGUAGUGGGGGAUAAGGUCCGGAAAAGGGCGCUAAUACCAAAUACUAUUAGAUGAGGAUAGGUCGGAUUAGCUAGUGGGGGGGGUAAAGGCCUACCAAGGCGACGAGCCGUAACUGGUCUGAGAGGAUGAUCAGUCACACUGGAACUGAGACACGGUCCAGACUCCUACGGGAGGCAGCAGUGGGGAAUAUUGGACAAUGGGCGAAAGCCUGAUCCAGCCAUGCCGCGGGUGUGAAGAAGGUCUUCGGAUUGUAAAGCACUUUAAGUUGGGAGGCGUUACCAACAUAAUAAGCACCGGCUAACUCCGUGCCAGCAGCCGCGGUAAUAC
rnacentral:rRNA from 1 species